CUUUUAUUUUACAAAUGGGAAUGAGGCUCAGACAUGCUUGUAGCCUUGGCAAUAAGUAAAUGGAAGACCUGGAAUUGAAUCCCGUAUCUCCUGACUCCACAUCAAGUGUUUUUGCCACUCUGCCAUAUGGUUUCAAUCUGGCAUAAAGUGCUCUGCCUGCAAUCUUGUAAACUGUAGUGAAGACUGGCUAUACCAUAGGUUGUCUGUGUAUGAGUAUGUAUGCAUACAUGUAUAUUAUCCAUAUCUCUGUCUAUCCAUUUGUUCAUUUGUACCUUUAAGUAAAUGGGCAGCUAAGGGGCACGGUGGACAGAGCCCUGGGCUUGGAAUCAGGAAGACUCAUUUUUGUGAGUUUUGUGAGUUCAAACGUGCCUCAGCUUUUCAUCUGUAAAAUGAGUGAAAGAAAGAAAUGGCAAACCAUUCCAGUCUCUUUGCCAAGAAGAUCCCAAAUGGGAUCCACAAGAGCUGAAUAUGACUGAAACAACUGUACAAACUUUUAAGUGAAAGAUAAACUGAGAUUGCUAGUCUUGGCUUGUUGAUUUACAAGCUGCAUAUAUAAGCUUUAACAUAUAAUUGUACGCACAACAAAGAUUUAGCACAUAUAAGCUUAACAUGUAACACAUACUCUGUAAGAGAGAAAAUUCAGUGCAGCCAAUUCGGAGCUGUAUAAAGUGCAGGAAGUAUAAUUGGUUGGAAUUUAUUUAAAAAAAAAAAACCAGAAAAAAAUUUCCCCAUUUUCUUUUUUUCCUUCCAUUAUUUAAUGUUUUAUCUUUCCCCAGUUACUUUUAUUUUUCCCCAUUUACUCCAUUUUAUUCCUAUACAGAAGCAGAGCUGUGAUGAAACCAUAGUCUGAGGAGAAUUUCUGUUCUAGACUCUGGUAUGAGCUAUUUGCUUGGAAUUGUGUAGACUACUGGUCCAGAAUCGGAUUUACUCCAUUAGAAACACUAUGUCAUAUGCUGUGGUGACACAAGCUAAUAACUACUCUAGCCUUGGCCUAAGGUAGCUGAUAGGCAGGAGUUAAGUACCUUGAAAAUAAGGCCCACCUUGAAUCUUCAGGUAGCAGGAUAGAGCUCUUUUCAGAGGGUAACCCCAAUCCCAGUAUUCAGAUUUGGGGCCAAGACUGGUCUGAUUUGUAAGUUCAUUAAGGCUAAUAAUAGCUUAUUUGACCCUUUCAUUAUUUACUCAAAGAUAUUAUAAUCUAGAUGGACAAUACAUAUGAUCAUAGAUUUAGAAGUGAAAGAAACCUAGACUUCAGAAAUACUUUGAUCCACCCGCUCUUUUUUUUUUUAAAGAAGGAACUUAAUUAAAUUUUUUUUUCAAUUAACAAGCAUUUAUAUUUUCUCCCUCCCAUUUGUCCUCCCAUUGAGAAAGAAUGAAAAACAACCUCCUUGUAACAAAUAUGCAUAAUCAAGCAAAAUAGGGGCAUUUGACUAGGUCCAAAAAUGUGUCUGUCUUUCUACAUAAUUAGCCUGUUGGCUCUGUUAGGAGUGAGGUUGGUAUUCAUUGGUCCUCUGGAUUCUUAUUUGCUUAUUUUAUUGGUUAGAGUCCUCAAGACUCAAAAUUUUUCAUUUUUUGCAUCUUUAUUUUAGAAUAAAUCAUUCUUCUGGCCUUGUCUGGCUUGCUUCACUUUGCAUCAGUUUAUACAAGUUUUUUUCUAAAACAAUUCCUUUCAUCAUUUCUUAUAGCAGUUGUAUCCUGUUCCAUUCCUAAAACAUAACAUAUAUAACCAUCCCCCAAUUUUCAGACAACCUCUUAGCUCUUAGUACUUUGCCAUCUCAAAAAAAAAAGCUAAUAUAAAUAUUUUUGUAAGCAAUACAUACUUUUGUACAUAUGUAUUUUGUGCAUAAUAUUUUGUACAUCCUCCUUCAUUUUUUGGAAUGUUGGCUUAGUAGUGGUCUUGCUGAGUCAAAGGAUCUGUACAGUUUAGUGACUUGAGGACAUAGUUCCAAAUUAGUUUUCAGAAUGGCUGGACCAGUUCCCAGCUCUACCAACAGCGCUUCAAUGUGUCCUUUCCUGUUACUCCUCCCAAAGUUUGUCAUUUUCCAUUUUUUUUCUUUUGGUCCAAAGGAGGAAAUUGAAGGCCAGAGAGAUUCUGUAAUUUGCUUAAGAUCACACAGAGAUUAAGGAAAAAUGGAAGUCAGAUACAGGUUCUAGUGCUUGCAACUACAUCUUGAACUAUAGGUUCUGCUGAGAGGAAUCUCAAGGUCUCACUCUGAUUUUAAACAGCACCUGGGGCUUGGAAGCAGCAGCCGGCAGCCCUGCCCUGAUCAGGUGGGGCUGUCAGCAGACAUCACAGCAGAGACCUCCCAGGUGCUUGGGAUGACUGAGAGGUAACUGGCAUGGGAAGGGGGGGCUUCCUUUUGGGUAGACAUGGUUCUCUUUCCAGGAUUACCUCUUCUUCCUUCCUUCCUAAGCUCUCAUCACCACUGGGCCCUAUUUUUUCCUCCCCUUUCUGCUGAUAGGGGUCAAGGGAUGGUAGCUACAACAUGGAUUUAGAUUUAUUUACUAGGCCCAAGCUUCUCCCAUCCAACUGUUGUCCCAGACUAACUAAUUCUGGAUUAGUAGGACUAGAGCUAGAAAGAAGGAGCCCCAAGGGGUUCGGCCAGGGCUAGCAGGGCCCCCUUUCUGGCUGGAGUCUAGGGGUGAUGGUGGUGGCGUUUUUCCCAGGCUGCCUGCAUGGACUGCUGGCACCAAUGUCAACUCUUUGUGGGGAAUUUUCUUGUUCUUUGUUGAACUCAUGCUUGAGUUUUACCUUUAUAUAAACGUAUUGUGAUUUCUUUCAUUGGUUGAAUUUGAAUCUGUAACCCGGUUGGUUCAAAGCUGGUUUGUGGUACUUCUUACUAGUAUGAUCUAGGGACAAAUCAUUUAAUUUCCUCGGACCUCAAUUUCCUUAUCUGUAAAAUGAAAGGGUUGGUCGAGAUCGGGGUUUCUUUAACUUUUCCCACUUGAAACCCUUGUUUAAUUUUUUUAUUUUAAUAAAUUUUAUUGUUUUAUUUUCUGGUUAUACAUAUACAUUCGUUUAAAAAUACACAUUUCUUUAUGAAUCACAUUGGAAGAGAAUCAGAACAAAAAGGAAAAACGAUAAGAGGAAAAAAAAAAACAGAAAAAAAGGGGAAAAAAUGAACAUCAUAUGUAUUGAUUUACGUUGUCUCUAACUUGCAAUCCAAGAAAUUUUUAUGUGACCCCAGGCAUAUAGGUAUAUAAAAUAGGUAUAGAAAUCAAAUAUUUACUGAUAAUAAAUCAUAAUUUUGCAAACUUCACAUUCAAUUAGGAGACCCCCCCAUGGGAUCAAGAACCACAGUUUAAGAAGCUAGGUUGUAGAUGACUUCUAAGGCUUCCAGCUCAAAACUGACCUCGAGGUUUCAGAAAUGCUUACCUCUCCCCACCUGGUGGCAGAUUAGUAUAUGGUGGGAAAGAAGGAAAAGUUUGUCUAAUCAUUUAACAAGUGCAUAAUAACAAUUGAAGCUUUUAUGUUGCUUCACAGAUUACAAAAUCCUUCUACUAUAUCCUUGGGAGGUAGGUACUAGUCUUAUUUAACGGAUGACUUUAGGGAAGUUAAAUGAUUUUUCCAUGGUUUCACAGCUAGUAGUUAUCAAAGGAAGGGCAGAAGUCCUAGUCUCUUGCCUCUUUUCUCUCCAUUGCCUACAGAAUAAAGUCUCAAUGUCUUAUUCUGAUAUUUAAAGCCUCAGAGAAUCUGGUCUCAGUCAUGAUUACUGGUUUAGGGGUAGCAGGACCUUUAAGAGGCCACCUAGCUUAAGUCCUUCAUUUCACAGGUGAAGAUGUUGAGGUCUAGAGAAGGUGAAUGAUGGAGAUCUGGGAAGCCAGGUCCUCAGCCUGCUUUGCCAGGUAUCAUAGAAAUACAACAAAAACCCUAACCUCAAAGAAUCUUACAGAUUUAUAUAGGAGAAAGACACAUGAUAAGAGAUAUGAUAUAAGGAAAAGUGAAAUCCUCUAAAAGGAGAGUUAUUGGCAAAGUGUACUGAGGAUGGAGAACUCUUUUUUACCUGGAAUUUGGGAGGUGACCUCAGUGCUCAUUCAAUGUAGCCCUAUCGUUUACUUUUUUUCCAAAUAAAA
rnacentral:lncRNA from 1 species